CUGACGUGGCCCGGAGCCGUCAGGCUGUGCCUACAGCAGUCCUCGGAGCCCCCCAAAGGCUCCCAGCCAAGUAACGGAGCCGGGCAGCGCUGGAUGAAGAAACGCUACAUGAAUCCUUUCAGAACGGAGAAACGUUUGGGGUUUUUUUUUUGUUUGUUUCUUUUUUAGUUUGUUUUCAAGGUUUCUCUUCACUUCGGGCACCGAGGGAACUCAGCCCGGGACGCGCACGCAGCGAGCGGAGCGCCGGCACAGAGCAGCUCCGGCCCUCGCUGUGCUCCCGUCCCGGGAGCGGCUCACCCUCAGCACCCCGACACCGCUCUCCUCACGCCCUCGGGCGGGCCCAGGCCACGGACGGGCGGCCGAACGGCGUCCCGCGGGCGUGGGGAGCGGCCCAGCAGGUGACGGACGACGGAGGCGACGCCGUCCGCUCCGCCGCCGCCUCGGCCCGACACGAGCCGCCUCCCGCCGCCGGUCCUCGGCGCGCCCGCAGCCCCGGCCAGGGACCCGCUCCCGCCCGCCUGCAACGGAGAAGGACGCUUGGGAAGCCGCCAGGCGCCGCCCGCCCGCAGAAGUAGGGCCUGUCUCUUUAGACAGAACCAGGAACCUGGAUGGAAAAAGUCAACAUUUUGAUCUACGUGAGCAACCAUGGCUUGGUGAACUGCAGACAGUGCCAGUGUGCAUGAAGAGACAUCUUCAUAGCUUCCCUGGUGCAGCUUGGUGCCCCUCUGAUCCUCGGGUCGUACCAAAGCAGCCUAACACCAUGUCACAAACAUGAGGGGAACACCACAUGCGGGCACAGGGCUAGCUGUGAUGGACUAACAGGUUUCUACAGUCUCGUAUUUCAGGUCUUAAAUAGUCCUGGGAAAAUGAGAAGUCCCUCCAAGCUCCUUUCCUGCAGGAAGGAUCACAGUAAGGUAGCUGCCACUUACAAGAGCUUUUCUAGAUUCUUUCUAAACGUCAGGCUCUGCAGCUGUUUCACAUGCGUGGGAUUUCCACAUGUACCCAUACAUUCAGCAUUUGUCUGGAGGAGCCAGAAUGCUGCUUUGAGAAAGCUGCUGUGAGCAACAUAACAACAUUUCUAAACAUCCAGUAAUCAGUAGUUUGAUUUAUCUCCUGCACUUCCAAUCUAAACAGAAGGAGAAAAGGUGCAGAAGGCAACUGAAAGCCAAAGGGAGAGAGGGCUGACUGAUUUAGGAGAAUGCGAGAUGGAGAAAGGCCUCAAUUCCAUUUUGGUUCCAUUUUUUUUUCUGCUUUCUGUGCAGCUUUCUGCAAGCUUCGGAAGAGCUUCAUUUUCCCUUUAAAAUGGAGGACACAAUGUCUAAAUGCCUUUAAAAAUCAUCACAGUGCUCUGGGAAUGCCGCAAAGUAUGAACCCACUGAAAACGCUGUUCUUCAGGGAGCUAAUUGCCUGCGUCGUGAAAGCACGCUAAGCAUUCUCUUUGUUGCAAGUCUCCGCAAUGCUAUUGGAACACAAUUACGGGCCGUGCUUUCAGCAGGCGUGUUGACACCGUCACAGACCGUGGUUUCAGACAGUCUACCUGCAGGGCAGCGGUACUGGCAUCACCAGCCACAGCCACGCUGCCCCUUUCGGCACUGUGAAGCAUGCAGUGAGCUUCCCCGUGCUGUAAGUGGCACGAAGCCAAUACCACGCCAUACCGGGGGGUUUUCUGGCAUCCUCCUGCAUGGGUGGGUGGGCUGGAUGGACUUGGCAAGGGCUUGUGAGGUUUCUGCCAACAUUUAACAAAGGAAUCCUUUACACACAUUCUUGCCUGAUACGGCACCUUUUCACUGCUCCGUAGCGCUUGAAGGAAAAAAAAUGUCUACAUUUAAUAUGUAAAUAAAAGUAUUGAUCCAGUAAGAAGGUCACUGCAUUCAUCCAAGGCAAACUGCAUUGCUUUCAGAUAACUGUUUUCACAAGUUCAUGAGCUUUUCAAACAAAGCCUGCUAUUUCACUGUGUGCCUGAACACCACAAGUUGGGAAAUGGGGAACCGUGUCAGUGAUGGGCGCUGAGGAUAACAUCACAGCAUGGAGCCAAUAGCCAGGUCAGUGUGUUUGUCAGAGGAGACAACACAUCACAUCCUGCUGCAGUUUGAUGAAGAGUGGAAACAAGCAAGAACCUGGACACUGUCCAUAGGCACUGUAAUUGAAGAUCUGUGUUUCUACAGAACGGUUAAGCCAGCUUUGGCAGAAUUAAAACUUCCCUAUCAGAAAGAAUCUCCAGGACUUUGGUGAUAAACCAUAACCAAGUGAUAAUCUGGGUGUAAAAAAAAUGAGGGAAAGAGGAUUGGAAAUAUUAUCGCUGGUCAGACUGAGCUCAUCUCAGCUAUUCAUACAGCUUGUAAUAAACUUGUGAACUUCUCAUGGGUUCGUUUCAUUAAACAUAUUUCAAUUCCAUUUUCAAGAUUAAUGUAUGGUUCUAUUGCAAGUGACUAUAAUAACUUAAAACCAGAUUUUAGAAGUUGCACUGGUGUAGUUUUAACGCACAAAGUAUUCUAAAGCUGAUAUAUAAAAUUUUGUAGAUCUGAACAGUGCUUAUUGUGAGGAAAAUGUAGUUAAAGCGUGAAAGGAAUUAGAAUCCUAACAGGAAAGCUACAUCUCUGCAAGUACCUGAACAGAGCAGAGAGGUUCUUUAAGAAAAUGCUCCAGUAUUUCCACAUGACCUACCGAAGGGAAGGAGCACUGGUAUGCUGCCAAAUUCCAAGAGAGCUGAGCAGUGAUUAGAGUUUAACUCAGGCUUCAAGAGGAUUUUUUUCCUUGAAUUUCUCAAUGUAAAAAAUUCUGAAGCACUCUCAACUUUACAGUUAAAAAAAAAAAUCUAAAAAUGUAAUAAAGAACUUGCUUUAGGGAAACAUCUGGUAGUUUUAAGUGCCUUAGUUCAGCAAAUUCUCCAUUUUCACAGCCUGAGUGUGGCAUGCACACAUCCAUUCUGUGGCCACUGGCAGCAUAGGAAGCAGGCAAAUAACUGCGCUGAGUUGGUUAUAAAAUAAUGCAACGUACAACAUGGAUAAGCCACAAGUUCUGAGAUGGGCUUUCAGUAGAAAGACAACUGGAUGCAAUGGCGGGGAGUCACGUAGUCAGAAGUCUCUAACUGGCAGGGGAUGGCCACUGCUGAGCGGGGCAGGGAUACCCACCUGACCUCAGCCAAGCACAGCUAAAGAGUACUGCACAGCCUCCCGGGCUAAGAACACUCAGCACAAAGCCACCCCAAGAACUGCAUUCCUUAGCUAGAGGUCAAAGCAGCCAUACAGAGGGAAGUAGUAAGAUAAGCGGACAGGAGAACAGAAGGGAUCUAAUUUAAAGGGCAAUGUAUAAAUGCAUCUACUGCUUCUUCCACUGAACGCUCUCAAAACAUAGUAAUGCAUGUACUGGGAAGAUAGUGCCUGCUUCUCAAUCCCGACAUUUUGGUUAGGGUUCUGUAGACAGGUGACUCCACAGCAGCGCAGCACAGCACAGCAAGCGACACUCUUGGCUUUUUGUCUGGUUAAGAAACUACACGUGUAGGAACACAAAGCAUCUGUGAGACCUGCUCACAUCUACAUUGUUGUAUUGUCACAGCAUCCCACGCAUACUUCAACACCUUCACCCGUAUUCCAGCACUCAGCAAAACAACCAGAGCAGCCCUGGAAGGCCUUACAGCCCCUGUAUAUUUGUGUGACCAACUCCCCCAAUAUGCGCACCAUGGGGCAGCUGUAAGGGCUCACUAAGGCAACCAGAGGGCACUCCAUGGGGUUGGCUUCACCCUCUGAAGCAGAAAAGGGGUAACAUCACUCCUGGAAUUUCACCAUCAGUGAGCAGAACUUCCCCUAAAAAAUAAAAAUUAAGACACUACUGGCAAUAAAAUCAGUCUUUGCAGACUGAUGAACAUUUUACACGCUAUGAACAAUGAGCCAUUCAGAGAGAGAACUUUUUUUUCUCCUGGAUUAGAAAUUGACAUCUCCUUCAAGAGCAUCCACUGGCCAGUUCUCUCCCCACGCCUUCCUCACCGAUGAAGUACUCACUGACUCUUUUCACCUCCAAAAGCCUUCAUGGACAUCUGCAACCUGCAAGUGCCAGAGGGGGAUUAUGCUGCAGCCACAUCUGGGAUGAAGGGCAGCAGACUUUCUACACGAGGGAGGUGAAAUUAAUUUCUAUAAAAAACAGAAGCAAAGCCUCAUGUUCUUACGAAAAGUGCCAGUGGACUUUUAAUGAUGCUGGGAACCAGCCAAGGCCGUGGGUUGUAUUUCUUCUGAAAGAAUUCUGUAUAAUGAAGCACACUGAAAAAUAUGCAGAGAGACUGACAGCGAUGUUUACUUUAUUCAUGGCACUACAUUUAUUCAGGAAACAGAGGGGAAGAAAAAAAACCUGAACUGAGAAAAAAAGGUAGUCUUCUUCCAAUAAUACCAUAAAAACACACAAGCCCAGAACAGAAGGUCAGGGAACAGCAGUUCCCUCUGACUGCAUGGCCAUGGCCAUGGCGCCCUGUGCUACCUAGAGCUUUUUCAGCAAGAGAUGGAGUGUGGAGGAUACAGCAGCCCUUUGGAGGGAAAGAGAUCAUUUUUAUUUUUUGAGGAGGUGGAAGAAAAAUUGUAUAAACCAUGUUUUACAAACAGAGUUUUAAAGGUCUCUCAGCAGGCUUUAAAUAAAAUGUAUAAAUAAAUACAAAGAUGAAGUACACUCACUGCAUUCUUUCUUUCCAUGGAUGAAACGGGCCAGCGAAAACAACUGACCUCAACUGUUUUAAUACUGUUUGCUGUUACGUAACCAAACCAAGCAGUUCCUUCUGCCACUGGUGGAGAAUUGCAAAGGUUUUAAAAGUUCAUUUUUUAGUUAUUCUUUGGAAUUUGUUUUACCUACAGUUAUUGCUUACAUCAGCUAACGUGACAACAGUUCAAAGAACUUAAUUCACUCAACAGCACUUAAUUCCUACAUACAACAACAUUUGACAUUCAGCAAAUGUGGCUCUUUCCCUUGCAGAGUAUUUCUUUCUUUAGUUAUAUGGUCUUCUACAUGCAAUGGAAAGUUUGGGCUUUUUUUUUUUUUUUUAAACAGGAAGAAUAAUUUGGAGUCUUCCAUCACUAGCUAUGAACUCAAGGGAGGCACACUGCCCCAGAUCCACGAAGCUGUAUAAAGCGGAACUAAUAAAUCCCAAUUCCCUGCAGACUUCAGUCUUCUCUUCCCACCUUCCCACUCACCUCUCCCACCGAGCCCAGUGACCCAGCACCCCCCGAGGGUCCUCUUUCACACGCAGUAGGCUUAGCUCCUAUUUAUGUCCCUGAACUACUGCUUGAGCAAAAGAAAGCAAGUGCUCUGCCAGGUUCCAUGUGUGCAGACUGACAGAUCUGCGCUUGGCCUGUCUCGCCGGCCGACCGGCCAAACUUCCUUGGCAAUGCUUCCUAAGCACAGGAAGUCUUGGAUCUAUCUUCUCUACUGAACCACUAAUUUUCAUGCAACUGGUAUUAGCUCAGUGAUCUCUGACAUCCUUCUCAACCGAAGUGGCCCAAAAGACUCAAGUUGCUUAUAAUGAGGGGGUAGAAUAGGACAGAGCACAAACGCAAAAGCAAGAGGAAAACUGUGGUCAAAGUAAAAUAUUUUAAGUAUGACAGCAUUCUGUUAAUAGCUGUGCUGUACUUCUGCUCAGCUAAAAGGUGAUCUGGAGAGAUUCUGACAGGCUAAGCUUUAAAUAUUUCAGAUCCUGCCACUUUCACUGGCAAUCUCCCAGCCCUUCACAACAGCAUCGCAAGGCACUGCUUGUUUUUAAAUCAAAACAUCCCAACACAGCCAGUUGAACAGCUGCUAGUUAUAGCUGCCUUCUGGCAAUCUAGUGUUUUUCUGGGUCACGUGUGCUUUUACCAGGAAAAUAAACCUGUGUAAAAUAACUCAGGUUUAUAACAUAUAUGAAUGUUGGCAUUAAUUCAGCAAUCUAAUACUCUUACAUAUAUGAAUUACUAAUACAAAACUUGUUUCUUUCAAAACUAGCCCCUGACAACAAGAGCCAGCAAUUAUUACCAAAGGAUACUGUUAGCUGUCAAGUUUUGUCAUUCAAGUCACAGUGAGAUUACUGCACUGAUGACAGAAGUCUGUAUCACUCCUUACUGACCUCCACGCCUAAGCUACACAAAUCCAGUCCUGGGUUUGGCCACAAGUACCAAGUGCUCACCCUAAGCCUUCUGCCUGUGCUUUGGUUUUAAGUAAUUUUCUCUGGAGUCAGUGACUGAUCUUGAAUAAAAUUGAAGUUUUUCCUCCUUCUCAUGGUAGCUACAUCUUUCAGAGCAGAUGAAGAUUUUUUUAUCUCAUUAGCCUUCUAAUGAUCUCCAGAAUACAAUCAGAAAACCAAGUCCUUCACAGAUAAUCACUUGAUUCCUCUGGAAAAGAGAGGUUUUAACUUGAUAGUGAUUUAUCAUCCACAUCAGUUUUCACGAACCAGCCACAGCAAGUAACACUGAUCUCCACCUCUGUCCUACCACUUUCAACAUGAUCAAUAAAUUCACGUAAGCUUGAGUGCAACAUCCAAGUCUGCUCUGCAGCCAAAAUGUGUGUUAAGUCCUGUGUUCAAAUACAGACAUUAAUUACUGAGACUCAGUCUAGCCAUGUAUUACCCUCCCCUAACACCUACCCACCAUUCCUAUGUGCUCUUGGACCACAAUUUGACUUCCCUGUUCCUGGCUCAGGCCUUUACCCCUUUGUACUGCAGUCAAAUGGCCAGUGUCAGAACAAAAACCUGGCUGGGAUCUUUCCAAGUGGAAACAAGCACAACACAGGGCAAGGCAAAGAUUGCAGCCAAUCACUAGGAGCAAUGUGUGCAAGUUAGAGGGCACUCCACACUCUGUCUCAAAGUCCAGCAAAUAAUUACAUGUGGACUUGUCCUGGUCCAAGCCUCAGUACCCAUUUGAAUCCAUUAUCUUUUCAGUAAUCGCAUUCCCUCUUUUCCUGCCAUUUAUCUCAGUUCUAAUCCUGCCACUUCAAUCCCUCUCUCAAAGAGAAGUCCUCGUUCUUUUCAACACUGUCAGUCUGGUAAACUGAGUGUCAGAGAUGUAGGAUCACUCAUUUCCUUUGCUACAGAACUUCACUAUUUUACUGUAAAUUCUUUCAAUAUUUGUGUAAGACUAUUCCUAGCACCUUAAUAUUGCAAAAAUCCUUCUUGUAUAUUUUGAGUAGUUUUUGAAAUUGUUCUAAAGCUUUUCUACAAGGAUGACAUGUUUUACAUGACCAUAAAGCAACACUGAGCGCUACACAUGAACAAGCAUUAACAGCUUCUUUAAACCUACAUUCAUAGAAAAAAUAAUCACUUUUCAAAGAUAGCUUGUGCACGAUUCCAUCAGCUUCUGCACCCAAAUUCAGCUCUCAUGGCCAAAACAACUGUUUUUCUUCAGGGUUGGACAUUGCUAUUUAAGCUUUUAUUCUGAAAGCAAAGAACCACAGUGUCUUAGUUAAGACUCAGGAAAAAAAAAAAAGUUUAACCCAUAUUAGGGAAAUUCUUAGAAUUGUAACUGCUACUGAAACUGAAAUUAAUUCAAACUGCUUUCAUUUGGAUUUUUUUUUUCUUUUUCUCUUUUCAAUUUGCUCUUUAAAAGGCAUUUGGCCUAAAAAAUCUGCCACACGAGAAUUAAGGGCACAUCACAAGCAAAGAAUAUACCAUCUUAAAAUGGUGGAUGAAGCAGCACUGCUUACAGGCACUGAUCCUCAGUCCGCCACCAUCUGGAACACUGCAUCUACAGAAACCUUCUGUCAAACAUAGUUAAUAAUUAAUUAUCAAGGAGAGAGGAGUCAAAGAUCUUCAAAUAAAAUUUACAGCUAGUAAUGUCCAAUCUACCACAUAGAAAGUCUGCAAACAAUGGCAGCAGAGAAAAUUAAUUGCUUCCUCGUUUACAACAUUAUCCUACAGACAGCUUUCAAAUAUGUAUUUAUUAGUAUGAUGUAUAUGCCAGCCAGUAUGGGUAAUUCAAACCUUUUACAGCAGUCAUAUUUCUAAACAAUGUGAGCACUAUGCUCUUAGGUGCAUUGCUGUAUUUGGCACAAGAAACGUCUAACACACUGAUACAAAUAAUUGUUGUUUUUUUUAAGCCAGCUUAAGGCAGACUUAGAUGCCCCACCUACACUUACAAUUUAUAGACAUCCAUGGUUUUGAAGCACUGUUGCACAUUACCACUUGAAAAGCAUUUGUUUUCUUUUAAAUGUAUUUCAAUUCCAAGGGUUACAGAAGCACUGAUAUACACACGCAUAUCAGCACUUGCUUCAUUCCACUCUUCUAGAAAGAAGAAAGCAUGCGAGAUCAGAUUCUGCCCUCACCUACACUACUGCAACACCCACUACUUGGAAAGGCUGAUUGUAACGCCCAGUAACAUUUCACUGCAGACAUCUCUGCUGUGAAACCAGAGCCAGGCAGUGACCCAAAGCAUUUGUUCAGACUGUUGACUUUCUUAAUUACUUGUGCUUACAUUAACUUCUCUGCAAAAUCUGAGCGGAUCAGAGAACAAAUAAUUCAUUAUUAUAAAGGCUGUACCAGAAGGGCUGGAAGAUUUACAUCAAAGGGAAAGCUGAGCUCCACCUGAAGAGUGCUUCUGGAAUUAAACUGCCUCUAUCCUCUGAACACACUGUUUGUUUGUUUUAAUUAAAAAGAUUGAGCAACACGCAAGUUUUGCUUUUGGUACUGAACAGUAACUUCAGAUAUUCCAUGUAGUUCUACAGUACUGUUCCAGACAACCAGAGGCUCUUUUAGGUUGUUAGCAACAUCCUGGUCAUCAACAGCCCUUCCCUUGUAUGUAUUUGAACUACAAAUACUCAGAAACGGAGUGACUUUAUUUAGUGCAAAGUUUCUUAUCUGAGAACUUUAUAUGCUAACAAAAGCCUGUCACGGCUGAAAAGCCAGGAGGCUUUAAAACCACCUUCUGGAACAGCAGAGUCAGGGGAAGAUUUACUUUGAGCAAGUAGCUUACAGCCUCCAGCAAGAUGUUUUUCACAGUGUAAUAAAAGCCACACUUUGGAGUCAUUUGUCUUCAAAAUAAAUAAAUAAAUAAAUAAUCACUAACAACCCACAACAACCCUACUGACAGACAACAGUGAAGUACACACAAGAGUUCCAGGGGCGUUCCUUCAUUUCUAUCCACUGUUACGGUCUUUGUCAAUAAAGUCAUUUCCAGCUUCAACACAUCUGAAGAG